rnacentral:rRNA from 1 species
AGAGUUUGAUCAUGGCUCAGGACGAACGCUGGCGGCGUGCUUAACACAUGCAAGUGGAGCGACGAACCAGGCUUCGGCCUGGGGCAGAGCCGCGAACGGGUGAGUAACACGUGGGUAACGUGCCCCGAUGAUCGGGACAACCCGGGGAAACCCGGGCUAAUACCGAAUGUGCUGUCCCCACACCAGUGGGGAUUGGAAAGGAAGCUUCGGCCUCCGCAUCGGGAUCGGCCCGCGGCCCAUUAGCUUGUUGGUGAGGUAACGGCUCACCAAGGCUGCGAUGGGUAGCUGGUCUGAGAGGACGAUCAGCCACACUGGGACUGAGACACGGCCCAGACUCCUACGGGAGGCAGCAGUGGGGAAUCUUGCGCAAUGCGCGAAAGCGUGACGCAGCAACGCCGCGUGGGGGAAGAAGGCCUUCGGGUUGUAAACCCCUUUCAGGAGGGACGAAGCCCGGGCGGUUAAUAGCCGACUCGGGUGACGGUACCUCCAGAAGAAGCCCCGGCUAACUACGUGCCAGCAGCGGCGGUAAUUC